GAUGCAGCAGAACAAACCGUUUGCGACGCACUUUUAAAAGGUGUAGGGGUGCAUCGUGGAGUAGGGCCCUCCUCUUUUUGACCACAGGACGAUGUACAAAGAUUGUGGGAAUAGCAUCUGGUCUCAGCCUACUCUUGAAUUUUUUGGUCAUGACAAAUUGGUUUGCCUCAACAUGUGCCUGCAGAGUGACUUGAGUUUAGUUUCCACACACAACUUUUUUUUUGUCUACCCAGUACCCACAUACGGUACAUAUCACAUGGUGGUUAAAUGCACAGUUAUAGGAAACACUGAUGACUCCCUGCAAUGUCUCACCAUGAGUCUCAGCUCCCUGGGUUUUGCAAGGCUUUGCUUGUUCCUUAUUUCUAGUAAAUAAUUUUCAAUGUAAAAAAAGUGCAAAAAAAUUUAAGUAUAAUUACCUAACAA